AGCAGCCGCGGUAAUUCCAGCUCCAAUAGCGUAUAUUAAAGUUGUUGCAGUUAAAAAGCUCGUAGUUGAAUUUCGGGAUCAAUAUGUUGGUCGUGCCUUGGUACGUACUGGCAUUAUUGGUUUCUACCUUCUGAAGAAUCUCGAUGUCAUUAAUUUGGUGUCUUGGGGAAUCAGGACUGUUACUUUGAAAAAAUUAGAGUGUUUAAAGCAGGCUCACGCUUGAAUACAUUAGCAUGGAAUAAUGAAAUAGGACGUUUGAUUCUAUUUUGUUGGUUUCUAGGAUCGACGUAAUGAUUAAUAGGGAUAGUUGGGGGCAUUAGUAUUCAAUUGUUAGAGGUGAAAUUCUUGGAUUUAUUGAAGACUAACUACUGCGAAAGCAUUUGCCAAGGAUGUUUUCAUUAAUUCAAGAACGAAAGUUAGGGGAGUCGAAGACGAUCGGAUACCGUCGUAGUCUUAACCAUAAACUAUAGCCGACUAGGGAUCGGAUGAUGUAAUUUUUAAUGACUCAUUCGGCGCCUUA
rnacentral:rRNA from 1 species